GACUGCCCUCCAUUUGUCUGCAAGGUCCCUAGUAAUCCAGCAUGUAGAAAAGAGCAGCCCUGACACAUGGUUCUCAUAUCAAGUGAUGGCUACAGGAACACACAGUCUUUCCCUUGCAAGAUGGAUACCCCUCUCAAGUCUGACUAAUCAAGUCAUUCCUCACCGAUGAACUUCCAGAUCACUUCUGAAAUUGAUGAAAAUGGAACUUGAAUAACUGAGAAGGAAGAAGCUAUGAGAGUACCGAAGUCAUUAUCAGCUCAGAGGAUAUCCACAGCUCUGCUCAGAAAAAGGCAGCAGGGACUUUGACAAUGGAUGUGAAUGUUAACUAAAGUCCUGUUUUCAGUGGCAGUACAGAAGAUUUUGGACUCCUGCUACAGAUUGUCUCUGCUCCUUUCAGAAUACUUGUGCUAAACUUGAAGAAACUGUGCCCUAAUCCAGUGAAAACAGAAUGUCCUCAGCUGCUUUAUGGAUCUUUUAGCCCACAGCUAAUUUUUCAUUAAAGGACAUCUGCAAGAAAAGGAUGUGAAUAUGUGAGUGAAGAGCAUUUCCUAAAUUAUUGCAGAAUGCUUUGUGUCCUGGGUGUCCUGGGAACAGAUGUUUCUAAAUCUAUCUCUUUCACAAAGUCAUAAAAUGGUUAAUAAAUACAGAAUGCAGAAAAUGUCCAGAACCCCUUGUUCUUUGCUGUUCAUCUUCUUCCUUGCUUUAAGUUCUUUAUGCAUUCUCUCACUAGUCUGUAUCUA